UCCAGUCUAAGACGGGGGGAGAAAAAAUCUUGCACGAAUAUGAAAAAACAAAGACAUUGACGGAUGCUACACGGCGACAGGUGGUAAACCUCCUAGUUGCAGACAUGAUGGAAGUCCAUGGCUGGGACAGUGACCUGUCAAGCAUUUAUACUGUUCGUUCACCUACUCCCCCCUACCUCAAAAGGCCACAAGAAGAGUGCUAAAAUCAGCUCAGAUCAACCUGUCAACCAUGUGGUGAGAUAUCUGAAGAUUGGAGCCAGUGUUGAGACCUUCGUAGGGAGCUUGGAACCAGGACAGCCCUUCCUCCUCUGUGUUGGUGAUCAGAAGAACAUUCAAAGGUUCUAUGUCAUCGUUGAUCAGAACGCCAUCCCUUGCAAGACACAGACAUCCCUGACAGCUUUCGAUGAGCUUUUCAAGGCACACUUCAUCUUCAGUGUUAACUACCAUGAAUCCCUCAACAGCUUCUACACAUUCAUCCAAACCACGGUGUUUAACAUGUGGGAAGUGCCAAGGAAAGUCCCCGAGUAAAAGAGCACAGAGCAAGGCUGCACACUAAUACUUGAGGUGAUACACAUCCUUGUUUGCAAAUAUGCUGAUAUGUUCCAUUUGUAAGGCACACCAGAAAAGUUCUGCAUUGCUUUGAGACGUCACCAUGGAUUAUAUCCAGGAAAGACAUUACGUUUGAAAUGUGGACAACCGGGAAGUUCUUUAUCAUUUUGUACUUAUUCAGGGUUAAAAAAACACCUCAUUUGUUCGCACAAGGACACUUAUUCACCAAAUACUACUGACAAUGUGGGCACUCAAAAUGAAGGUGAGCCUUCAAAUUCUCAGGCAAUCUGUACAGACACUCCAGUAACUAGCCAGAUUUCUGUUGACAAGCACCAUUUGUUAAACCUGUGUGGAUCUGUUGUAGCACAAUUGCAAGCAUCAGGUGUUGCUGAGAGCACUGUCCAAGCAAUGGUAGGGUCAAUGGAAGAGCUUGUAAAUGACAUUCAUAAGCAAACAAGAGAAGCUGUUCUCAGCUGUACUUCUUCAGAGAUUCAAGGAACCAAUUUGGGGGGAAAAAAGGUGGAAAAUUGUUUGGAUCAAUUGGAAAAUCCUUUCUCUGUCUUAAAUACAGCAGCCAAACGACAGAAGUUUUUUGAGGAAGAGUGGGAAAUAGUUGAACCUGUAGAAUAUGUUCUUGGGGUGCGUUUUGAUUUGCGAAGAGAUCGGACAACAGGAGUUUACAAUAAGA